rnacentral:piRNA from 1 species
UGCCAUAAAGAGACUUAGGGCAAUACCUUAGU